CAUUGAAACACCAGUUCUCGAGUGAUAGCCAAAGUUAAGCAGCGUCGAGCCUGAUCAGUACUUAGAUGGGUGACCGCUUGGGGAUACCAGGUGCUGCAA